rnacentral:tRNA from 1 species
GAGAUAUUAGUAUAAUAAUUACACAACUUUGUCGAAGUUGAAAUAUAAACUAACCUUUAUAUAUCUCU